ACGUACGACCAUAGAUACUGGAAAAUCCGGGAUCCCGUCCGCUCUCCCAUAGACAAGCUAGUAAUCGUCAGAGUAGUACUCGGGUGGGUGACCACCGGGGAAUGCCUGAUGUUGUACGUU
rfam:Coniochaeta ligniaria NRRL 30616 unplaced genomic scaffold CONLIGscaffold_10, whole genome shotgun sequence.